GACGAACGCUGGCGGCGUGCCUAAUACAUGCAAGUCGAGCGGAGCGGCGGACGGGUGAGUAAUGCCUAGGAAUCUGCCUGGUAGUGGGGGAUAACGUCCGGAAACGGGCGCUAAUACCGCAUACUAUCAGAUGAGCCUAGGUCGGAUUAGCUAGUUGUGGGGGUAAAGGCCUACCAAGGCGACGCUCCGUAACUGGUCUGAGAGGAUGAUCAGUCAAACUGGAACUGAGACACGGUCCAGACUCCUACGGGAGGCAGCAGUGGUGAAUAUUGGACAAUGGGCGAAAGCCUGAUCCAGCCAUGCCGCGUGUGUGAAGAAGGUCUUCGGAUUGUAAAGCACUUUAAGUUGGGAGGCGUUACCCGCAGAAGAAGCACCGGCUAACUCCGUGCCAGCCGCCGCGGUAAUAC
rnacentral:rRNA from 1 species